rnacentral:rRNA from 1 species
CCCUUAGAUGUUCUGGGCCGCACGCGCGCUACAAUGAUGAAUUCAACGAGUUUAUAACCUUGGUUGAAAAGCCUGGGUAAUCCUUUGAACUUUCGUCGUGAUGGGGCUAGACCCUUGCAAUUAUUGGUCUCCAACGAGGAAUUCCUAGUAAACGCAAGUCAUCAGCUUGCAUUGAUUACGUCCCUGCCCUUUGUACACACCGCCCGUCGCACCUACCGAUUGAAUGGUCCGGUGAAAUCUUCGGAUUGAGACUUUGAUUUCUUCACGGAAAACGCUGUUUUAAGAAGUUGAUUAAACCUUACCAUUUAGAGGAAGGUGAAGUCGUAACA